AUUCGUAAUAAAGAAAGUACUGUUUGAUUUUCAUGCAAGUUGAUUGGGUUCGAAUCUUGUGCUUGUGUCACAUUUCUGAUGGUCUCACCAACUUUCCUUAGCAUGUUGUACCUGCUACGAGACCGCUCUUUGGCGCAUCCCUUUUGCCCUUAGUGUACGGGUUGGGUCGGCGGUUUAGGUGCGGUAUGGCUCUCGUUGAACCUCUGCUUUUUCCUCUUGUUUCUGUGAAAGGUCACUGUCGCCCGACACGUGUAAGAAAGACGCAUUAAAUGCCAACCUCGUGGAUUUGUAAGGGUAUAGGCAAUCAAAUCAGACUAAGGCAUAUUCCUAUUGUCGAAUGGAGGGAAAUUUGAAUAGUGUUUUCCGCUAAUGAAUUUACUCAUACCUGGCUCGGAUCCCUCGAUACUGGGACCAGGCUGCCGAGAUUGCUUAGAUGGAUGACUCCACUCUCCGGAUACUUGUGCGGGCCACACUUCCUUAUAUCCCGACUUUUCUCGAUUACCGAGAUUAGGUCUAGGACAUUGAGAAGGUGAUCUCUCCUCCUCCUGACCACUCAGUUUCCGACCUCUUUGUUCUUUACAGUGUGGCAUGCGCUGUCAGAUACGAAGAAUCCAAGAACAGAUGGCCUAUCGUGCUGGUCGGAUCUCCCGAAUCCGAAUGGAUUUGAGGCCUAGUGCUAUAUGUUUAGGAUGUAUUGGGCUGAAAGUCUAAUACGAAUCCUAAUUUGGCCUAUGGGGCCAUACCUGCAAAAAGGCCAUAGACGCUAUUUGCAAGCACGUGAAUCGUCCAUGUAGAAAUGAUCGAAUUUAUCCCCAAAAAACAUGAACAAACUUUUGAGAUAUAUUUUCUAGAUUAAAAAGUAAGUAGAUGGGGGUUCUUCAUUGACACAAAAAGAGAGAGAGAGAGAGAGAGAGAGAGAGAGAGAGGGAGGGAGAGAGAGAGAGAGAGAGAGAGAGAGAGAGAGAGAGAAAUGUGUUUUGAUGAAUAUAAGUAUGUAGAGAAGGGCCAUAUGCUCAUUACAUAACUUAUAUCAUGGAGAAAAUGGUAAAGUAUUGGAUAUUGGAGAAAAAACAGACGAUGAGGAAACAACUCCUCAAGCCUCAACUCUGUAGUAAAAAAUGCACACACCAACAUAGGUUAUGACUGUCUAUGUGUAAGCUGAAAACAACCUCCAUUUUCCAACUGAACUUUGAAAAUUACAAA
rnacentral:lncRNA from 1 species